rnacentral:misc_RNA from 1 species
GAUGAAGAACGUAGCGAAAUGCGAUAAGUAGUGUGAAUUGCAGAAUUCAGUGAAUCAUCGAAUCUUUGAACGCACAUUGCGCCCCUUGGUAUUCCAUGGGGCAUGGCUGUUCGAGCGUCAUUUGUACCUUCAAGCUCUGCUUGGUGUUGGGUGUUUGUCUCGCCUCUGCGUGUAGACUCGCCUCAAAAUAAUUGGCAGCCGGCGUAUUGAUUUCGGAGCGCAGUACAUCUCGCGCUUUGCACUCAUAACGACGACGUCCAAAAGUACAUUUUUACACUCUUGACCUCGGAUCAGGUAGGGAUACCCGCUGAACUUAAGCAUAUCAAUAAGCGGAGGA